UUAAGCGACUAAGCGUACACGGUGGAUGCCCUGGCAGUCAGAGGCGAUGAAGGACGUGCUAAUCUGCGAUAAGCGUCGGUAAGGUGAUAUGAACCGUUAUAACCGGCGAUUUCCGAAUGGGGAAACCCAGUGUGAUUCGUCACACUAUCAUUAACUGAAUCCAUAGGUUAAUGAGGCGAACCGGGGGAACUGAAACAUCUAAGUACCCCGAGGAAAAGAAAUCAACCGAGAUUCCCCCAGUAGCGGCGAGCGAACGGGGAGCAGCCCAGAGCCUGAAUCAGUGUGUGUGUUAGUGGAAGCGUCUGGAAAGGCGCGCGAUACAGGGUGACAGCCCCGUACACAAAAAUGCACAUGCUGUGAGCUCGAUGAGUAGGGCGGGACACGUGGUAUCCUGUCUGAAUAUGGGGGGACCAUCCUCCAAGGCUAAAUACUCCUGACUGACCGAUAGUGAACCAGUACCGUGAGGGAAAGGCGAAAAGAACCCCGGCGAGGGGAGUGAAAAAGAACCUGAAACCGUGUACGUACAAGCAGUGGGAGCACGCUUAGGCGUGUGACUGCGUACCUUUUGUAUAAUGGGUCAGCGACUUAUAUUCUGUAGCAAGGUUAACCGAAUAGGGGAGCCGAAGGGAAACCGAGUCUUAACUGGGCGUUAAGUUGCAGGGUAUAGACCCGAAACCCGGUGAUCUAGCCAUGGGCAGGUUGAAGGUUGGGUAACACUAACUGGAGGACCGAACCGACUAAUGUUGAAAAAUUAGCGGAUGACUUGUGGCUGGGGGUGAAAGGCCAAUCAAACCGGGAGAUAGCUGGUUCUCCCCGAAAGCUAUUUAGGUAGCGCCUCGUGAAUUCAUCUCCGGGGGUAGAGCACUGUUUCGGCAAGGGGGUCAUCCCGACUUACCAACCCGAUGCAAACUGCGAAUACCGGAGAAUGUUAUCACGGGAGACACACGGCGGGUGCUAACGUCCGUCGUGAAGAGGGAAACAACCCAGACCGCCAGCUAAGGUCCCAAAGUCAUGGUUAAGUGGGAAACGAUGUGGGAAGGCCCAGACAGCCAGGAUGUUGGCUUAGAAGCAGCCAUCAUUUAAAGAAAGCGUAAUAGCUCACUGGUCGAGUCGGCCUGCGCGGAAGAUGUAACGGGGCUAAACCAUGCACCGAAGCUGCGGCAGCGACGCUGAUGCGUUGUUGGGUAGGGGAGCGUUCUGUAAGCCUGUGAAGGUGUACUGUGAGGUAUGCUGGAGGUAUCAGAAGUGCGAAUGCUGACAUAAGUAACGAUAAAGCGGGUGAAAAGCCCGCUCGCCGGAAGACCAAGGGUUCCUGUCCAACGUUAAUCGGGGCAGGGUGAGUCGACCCCUAAGGCGAGGCCGAAAGGCGUAGUCGAUGGGAAACAGGUUAAUAUUCCUGUACUUGGUGUUACUGCGAAGGGGGGACGGAGAAGGCUAUGUUGGCCGGGCGACGGUUGUCCCGGUUUAAGCGUGUAGGCUGGUUUUCCAGGCAAAUCCGGAAAAUCAAGGCUGAGGCGUGAUGACGAGGCACUACGGUGCUGAAGCAACAAAUGCCCUGCUUCCAGGAAAAGCCUCUAAGCAUCAGGUAACAUCAAAUCGUACCCCAAACCGACACAGGUGGUCAGGUAGAGAAUACCAAGGCGCUUGAGAGAACUCGGGUGAAGGAACUAGGCAAAAUGGUGCCGUAACUUCGGGAGAAGGCACGCUGAUAUGUAGGUGAAGCGACUUGCUCGUGGAGCUGAAAUCAGUCGAAGAUACCAGCUGGCUGCAACUGUUUAUUAAAAACACAGCACUGUGCAAACACGAAAGUGGACGUAUACGGUGUGACGCCUGCCCGGUGCCGGAAGGUUAAUUGAUGGGGUCAGCGCAAGCGAAGCUCUUGAUCGAAGCCCCGGUAAACGGCGGCCGUAACUAUAACGGUCCUAAGGUAGCGAAAUUCCUUGUCGGGUAAGUUCCGACCUGCACGAAUGGCGUAAUGAUGGCCAGGCUGUCUCCACCCGAGACUCAGUGAAAUUGAACUCGCUGUGAAGAUGCAGUGUACCCGCGGCAAGACGGAAAGACCCCGUGAACCUUUACUAUAGCUUGACACUGAACAUUGAGCCUUGAUGUGUAGGAUAGGUGGGAGGCUUUGAAGUGUGGACGCCAGUCUGCAUGGAGCCGACCUUGAAAUACCACCCUUUAAUGUUUGAUGUUCUAACGUUGACCCGUGAUCCGGGUUGCGGACAGUGUCUGGUGGGUAGUUUGACUGGGGCGGUCUCCUCCUAAAGAGUAACGGAGGAGCACGAAGGUUGGCUAAUCCUGGUCGGACAUCAGGAGGUUAGUGCAAUGGCAUAAGCCAGCUUGACUGCGAGCGUGACGGCGCGAGCAGGUGCGAAAGCAGGUCAUAGUGAUCCGGUGGUUCUGAAUGGAAGGGCCAUCGCUCAACGGAUAAAAGGUACUCCGGGGAUAACAGGCUGAUACCGCCCAAGAGUUCAUAUCGACGGCGGUGUUUGGCACCUCGAUGUCGGCUCAUCACAUCCUGGGGCUGAAGUAGGUCCCAAGGGUAUGGCUGUUCGCCAUUUAAAGUGGUACGCGAGCUGGGUUUAGAACGUCGUGAGACAGUUCGGUCCCUAUCUGCCGUGGGCGCUGGAGAACUGAGGGGGGCUGCUCCUAGUACGAGAGGACCGGAGUGGACGCAUCACUGGUGUUCGGGUUGUCAUGCCAAUGGCACUGCCCGGUAGCUAAAUGCGGAAGAGAUAAGUGCUGAAAGCAUCUAAGCACGAAACUUGCCCCGAGAUGAGUUCUCCCUGACUCCUUGAGAGUCCUGAAGGAACGUUGAAGACGACGACGUUGAUAGGCCGGGUGUGUAAGCGCAGCGAUGCGUUGAGCUAACCGGUACUAAUGAACCGUGAGGCUUAACCU
rnacentral:rRNA from 1 species